GUGCUUGCUUCAGUGGCACACAUACUAAAAUAGGAACAAUACAGGGAAGAUUAGCAUGGCCCCUGCAUAAGGAUGACAUGCAAAUUUGUGAAGUGUUCUGUAUUAAA
ensembl:snRNA U6 U6 spliceosomal RNA